GACGAACCGUACAAACGUUAUUCGGAAUCACUGGGCUUAAAGGGUGCGUAGGCGGCGCUGAAAGUAGGGUGUGAAAUCCCUCGGCUCAACCGAGGAACUGCGCUCUAAACUACAGUGCUCGAGGGAGACAGAGGUGAGCGGAACUUAGGGUGGAGCGGUGAAAUGCGUUGAUAUCCUAAGGAACACCCCGUGGCGAAAGCGGCUCACUGGGUCUCUUCUGACGCUGAGGCACGAAAGCCAGGGUAGCGAACGGGG
rnacentral:rRNA from 1 species